UGUGGCUUCAGUACAUACAUAGCUUACACAUGGUUCCUGGUUCAAUUCUUCUCAAUAGCAAUUUGAAUAUUUUUGAAAGCAGUUUUUGUGUAGAAUGUUAAGAGUUUCCAUUUCUAUCAGUCAUAAAAUUAAAAACAAAAAAACCAGAUAAUAACAGUUUGAUUCUCUAAACAAGCAGGUUUUGGGUUAUUUCUUAGCGCAAGAGCCUGUUCUAGAGUUAGGAGCUUUGGGGAAGUGCUCUGCAAAUUGUUGCUUUUAAUUGCAAUAUUCUACUCGACUGGACUUAACUCCACUAGAUUCUGACGCUUUCUGGGAAUAAAUGCUAAUGGUUAAAGCAGCUAGUACAAGACAUGAAUGUUCUAUUGCAAAUAGGGCAUUUUGUAUUUUGUUAUAUGUGAACUUUGGUUGAAGUGUUUUUCUUCAUUGUGCUAGGGAUAUUUGUUGGAUUAAAGGUUUGUACAAGCCCGUACCCAAGUGCAGAUGGAUUUGCUCUAGUCUGGCUCGAAUCCAACCUUUAUUAAUUCCCUUAUCCAAGCCUGAACAUUGAGUUUAUUUCAAAAUUUUAACUCUAGCUCAGGUUGCUUUUUA